UACGGAGGGUGCGAGCGUUGUCCGGAAUCACUGGGCGUAAAGGGCGCGUAGGCGGCAUGCCAAGCGUGUGGUGAAAGCCCGGGGCUCAACCCCGGGUCGGCCGUGCGGACUGGCGUGCUCGAGCACUGUAGGGGCGGGUGGAAUUCCGGGUGUAGCGGUGGAAUGCGUAGAGGAUCCGGAAGAACACCGGUGGCGAAGGCGGCCCGCUGGGCAGGAAGGCCUCGUGAGAGGCCGGCUGACGCUGAGGCGCGACAGCGUGGGGAGCAAACGAGG
rnacentral:rRNA from 1 species